rnacentral:lncRNA from 1 species
AACACAUUCUUCAUAUGUGGCUCUAAGGGUGCCACCUGAAUUGAGAGGUGUUCUGGCUCUAGAUUGUUUGAUGGGUUGGAGCUGAACUCCGGUCAGAGCAUUUGUCUGGUAUGUACAAGGCCCUAGGUAUUGAUCCCCAGAACUAUGCAAACAGUGCAAAAGACUAGCCUGCUUUAAGCUCCCUCAGAGGGUCUGAAAAGAAUCCUUGAUCUAGUUUUGUGUUGGAUCAGUGGAUCCAAGUAUGAGUCUUUGUAUCAGCCACUCACCUUUGAGCAUAUAUGAUGUGUGCAUUGGUUACAUGUGUCCUCACUAAAAGGACGCUACACCCAUGUCUCUGAAGCUUCUGUGAGUGUGGGUCUUCCUGCAAAAGCAGUUCCAUAUGGGAAGAAGAAUAAUGUGGUGUGGUUCAUGACCUGUUUCAAUGUCAGCUCCUCCAAAGCAUGACUUCAGAGUCAGCUGUGAGCCUCUCAGCCUGCUUCUGCCUGUGUCUUCACUAUGCAGACAUCAAACAGCUGUUGAAUACCAAUUAAGGGUGAGUGAACAAGGUUCCAGUUGCUACCUGAGGUUGUUCCACGGCAGAGUCUUUGCUUCAAAAUCUCUUGAAGGAAAAAGAGUGGAGCUGUGGCUGGAGAAACUUCUGAGCUCUGGGGUGGGGGAGUCUCUCUUUGGCAACUGAUUGGAUCUAGCAAUCUAGUGGGUCCCCUAGCUGGCCAAAGUCCCUCUGAUGACUGUAGCCUUGAAUCAGACCAAUUCCCAGUUUUUACUUAAAGCUCCCAGUGUGAGUGUAAGGUGGAGCUAAGAUUGAUAGAUCUGUGAAGGUGCAAACCUGUGUGCCAUGAGCCUGCACCCUGAGGUCAGUACCAAGAACAGUGACUAUGUCAUCCCUGCCUGCCUGAGAUGAAAGCUCCAUGGCCUUCCCCACCCCCACCCCCACCCCCACCCCCACCCCCCACGUUGCCUCUGUCACUCCUCACUUGCUGAAGGGCUCCUGGUACCUGCUGCCCUGGGAAUCCUUUAGCUAGGAGAGAAUUAGAAGUAGCCAUACCUUAGACUAGGGCCAGCUCCUUACCCCCUUAUGAUGCUAAGAGUGACAAGGACUGAGGAGGGUAGAAAAAUGGCUCUGUGCAUAAAGUGCUUGCCGUGUAAACAGAAAGACCUGAAUCCAGUCCCUAGAACCCAUAUAAAAUCCAGGCAUGGGUGCCAAGCACUUGCAAUCCCAGCCUCGGGAAAACGGAAUCUUAGACCUUAAGAAGUCCACUGUGGGGAAGGAAUGCAACUGCAUGGGAGAUGGGCAUGAUUAGAAGACAAGCUAAGAGAGAGUUUAAGAAGUUUUACUGUUUAUUAUGAAUGCAAUUGCUCAUUAAGUGUUCUCUCAGGAAAUAGCAGUAAAUAUUUAUAC